CGGACAAAUAGCGAUAUUAAGGUGUAUUCAUUUGUAAAUACUACCCUAGUUACAAUGACUUAAUAAAAAAGGUUCUCUUCUGGGAAUAGUAUACUGUUUAUCUAUUAUGUCGGUUGAUUGAUUUUGCUUAUAGUUAAACCUCAAGUGGCAACUAUUUCAUUAAAGUGCGCAUUGAGUAUAAUUCUGGGACGUCCCAUAUCUCAAUUAA
rnacentral:lncRNA from 1 species